rnacentral:misc_RNA from 1 species
ACAUCAAAUAAAGACAUUGAAUCCAUAAUUUAUUUCAUUAAUAUCAACUAAUGCAGUAACUAGUGCAAAGUAAAAUGGAUACUAAAGAUACCUAACUAAUGUUAUAACUGCCAAAAGGAGUCAUAAAUGUAGCACAAAACAAAUGUAAUGCUUUUACAACAUAUUUGCCUUGUUACAAUGUGAAAUCAAACUAUGAAAAAGGAGUUCUGAGGGAUUCAGUUUGAAAGAGGCUAAAAAUGCAAGAGAAAUGCUUUCUAGAGAAGUGAAGAUUCUAAGUUGGUAACAGCAUAAGAACGUACAUAACACAACAUAACAACCAUUACAACCAUUAUCUUUUGUUUUCCUGCCCAUUAUAUAUAGGGUAUAACAGUAACAAGGCAUUCAAAAUCCAUUAAAUAAAGACCGUGCAUAUUAUUGUCUUGCCAACACUAGUUCUACUGGAACUUAGUUUAACUCGAGAAAGCAUUUAUAUAUGAUCAUAAACUAGUUACAGUCAGCUGUAAGAAUCUGUUACACAUAGGAGAAAAAGAUAUAGAUAUAGGGAUAAUAAUGGGCAUAUGG